rnacentral:rRNA from 1 species
GAUGAACGCUAGCGGGAGGCCUAACACAUGCAAGCCGAGCGGUAGAGAUUCUUCGGAAUCUUGAGAGCGGCGUACGGGUGCGGAACACGUGUGCAACCUACCUUUAUCUGGAGGAUAGCCUUUCGAAAGGAAGAUUAAUACUCCAUAAUAUAUUGAUUGGCAUCGAUUGAUAUUGAAAGCUCCGGCGGAUAGAGAUGGGCACGCGCAAGAUUAGCUAGUUGGUGAGGUAACGGCUCACCAAGGCGAUGAUCUUAGGGGCCUGAGAGGGUGAUCCCCACACUGGUACUGAGACACGGACCAGACUCCUACGGGAGGCAGCAGUGAGGAAUAUUGGUCAAAUGGGUGCAAGCCUGAACCAGCCAUCCCGCGUG